AGGUAGGAUUAAAGAGGCUGAGGAGUUCGCGUCAAAAAUUGUGGAAAUGGGAAAAUUGCAAGAUCAAACAUUACCAUUGAAAAAAGGGCAACAAAUGAGGGCCAGUGAGACUCCUGAAGAAUCUGAUCCUAAUUCCAUUACCUUUUCAGAAAAGAUUAAUGAGUUGUGUACUCAAGGGAAAUACAAGGAUGCAAUGCAAACUUUUCAAGAAUCGACACAGAAGGGCAUUACUUUACAUAAAUCUACCUAUAUUAAGUUGAUGGAGGGACUUAUUAAGAGGAGAAAAAGCAUAUCAAAGACUACCGUAUUGUAGUGAAAAUUUCUUUGGCUGUCCUUGCCAGUGCUUUGGUUGAGAUGGCUCAUCAGUCAUCAUUACCUUUUAACAUCUAUUUAUCAGGAUUUGAACCUAAAAAGAAGUUGAGGCAACUAUGCAUAGGUUAAAUGUGCUGAUUUCAAUGGAAUGGGAGUUGAUUUCAAACUUUCUUUACAUGAGAGCAAUCUUCUACAAUUCAAAAACAAGAUGGCGUUAGGAAAAUCUACAGGAUGU
rnacentral:misc_RNA from 1 species